GCUUCCCUGUGUUGUCCCAGACAGCAAGUAGACAUGCCUGGAAGCACUAAUUUUAAACAAGCUUUAAUGUUGACAUCAGUCUGAUUGACUGUUGGAAUGCCCAUGGCUUGUAUAAUUAUAAGUGCCCAAGGAUGCUUGAAGAUAAUUUUCCAGGUGGCCCUAGGUGAGGUGUAGGUUGUGACAUGUUGGCAUAUUGGUAGUCCUCUGGCCUGGAUGUGGCAGGAGGGUACUGAAAGAGUCCUAGUCUAGAACAUGUGGGCUUAAGCCCAGCUCACCACUAAUUGGUCCUGGCAUUGGACAGAUUACUUCUCUGGAGCUUCAGUUUCCUCAUCUGUAACCUGGAGGUCACUCUCAUUCACUCCCAAGUGGCCCUGGCUGACAAGGAGCUCCUGCCCUCCGUCCGGCAGGAAGUGAGGGAGAUCCUCCUCCGGAAGGGCGUGCAGCUGCUGCUGAGUGAGCGGGUGAGCAAUCUGGAGGAGCUGCCUCUCAAUGAGUAUCGAGAGUACAUCAAAGUGCAGACGGACAAAGGCACAGAGGUGGCCACCAACCUGGUGAUUCUCUGCACCGGCAUCAAGAUCAACAGCUCCGCCUACCGCAAAGCGUUUGAGAGCAGACUGGCCAGCAGUGGUGCUCUGAGAGUGAACGAGCACCUCCAGGUGGAGGGCCACAGCAACAUCUACGCCAUUGGUGACUGUGCCGACGUGAGGACGCCCAAGAUGGCCUAUCUUGCCGGCCUCCACGCCAACAUCGCCGUGGCCAACAUCGUCAACUCUGUGAAGCAGCGGCCUCUCCAGGCCUACAAGCCGGGUAAGAGAGGCCCCAUGUGCUUUGCAGUUUUAAUAGAGUUUGGGGUUAAACAUGGGGAAGCCUUUUUGGGCUAUCCCAUACCUGGCCACUAGAACAAACUCUCCAAGCUGGUGAUGGAAACAUCCCCUUAGAGCUCUUUAAAAAU
rnacentral:sRNA from 1 species